UACGGAGGGUGCAAGCGUUGUCCGGAUUUAUUGGGUUUAAAGGGUGCGUAGGCGGCUGAUUAAGUCAGCGGUGAAAUUCCACAGCUCAACUGUGGAACUGCCAUUGAUACUGGUUAGCUUGAGUACAGAUGAGGUAGGCGGAAUUGACAGUGUAGCGGUGAAAUGCUUAGAUAUUGUCAAGAACACCUAUUGCGAAGGCAGCUUACUAAGCUGUAACUGACACUGAGGCACGAAAGCGUGGGGAGCAAACAGG
rnacentral:rRNA from 1 species